GAGACAGCAGCAGCCGCGGUAAUACGUAGGUCCCGAGCGUUGUCCGGAUUUAUUGGGCGUAAAGCGAGCGCAGGCGGUUAGAUAAGUCUGAAGUUAAAGGCUGUGGCUUAACCAUAGUACGCUUUGGAAACUGUUUAACUUGAGUGCAAGAGGGGAGAGUGGAAUUCCAUGUGUAGCGGUGAAAUGCGUAGAUAUAUGGAGGAACACCGGUGGCGAAAGCGGCUCUCUGGCUUGUAACUGACGCUCAGGUGCGAAAGCGUGGGGAGCAAACAGGAUUAGAUACCCCAGUAGUCCCUGUCUCUUAUACA
rnacentral:rRNA from 1 species